GUGGGGAAUCUUGCGCAAUGGGCGAAAGCCUGACGCAGCCAUGCCGCGUGGAUGAUGAAGGUCUUAGGAUUGUAAAAUCCUUUCACCGGUGAAGAUAAUGACUGUAGCCGGAGAAGAAGCCCCGGCUAACUUCGUGCCAGCAGCCGCGGUAAUACGAAGGGGGCUAGCGUUGCUCGGAUUUACUGGGCGUAAAGGGCGCGUAGGCGGACAUUUAAGUCAGGGGUGAAAUCCCGGGGCUCAACCUCGGAACUGCCUUUGAUACUGGGUGUCUUGAGGAUGAGAGAGGUGUGUGGAACUCCGAGUGUAGAGGUGAAAUUCGUAGAUAUUCGGAAGAACACCAGUGGCGAAGGCGACUCACUGGCCCAAUACUGACGCUGAGGCGCGAAAGCGUGGGGAGCAAACAGGAUUAGAUACCCCGGUAGUCC
rnacentral:rRNA from 1 species